rnacentral:rRNA from 1 species
AUACCUACGGGGCGCAGCAGUGGGGGAUAUUGCACAAUGGGGGGAACCCUGAUGCAGCGACGCCGCGUGGGUGAAGAAGCGCCCCGGCGCGUAAAGCCCUGUCAGCAGGGAAGAAGAAGGACGGUACCUGACCAAGAAGCCCCGGCUAACUACGUGCCAGCAGCCGCGGUAAUACGCAGGGGGCAAGCGUUAUCCGGAUUUACUGGGUGUAAAGGUGGCGCAGACGGCGAGGCAAGCCGGGAGUGAAAGCCCGGGGCCCAACCCCGCGACUGCUCUUGGAGCUGCGUGGCUGGAGU